AGAUUGAACGCUGGCGGCAGGCCUAACACAUGCAAGUCGAGCGGUAGAGAGGUGCUUGCACCUCUUGAGAGCGGCGGACGGGUGAGUAAUGCCUAGGAAUCUGCCUAGUGGUGGGGGAUAACGUUCGGAAACGGACGCUAAUACCGCAUACGUCCUACGGGAGAAAGCGGGGGACCUUCGGGCCUCGCGCCAUUAGAUGAGCCUAGGUCGGAUUAGCUAGUUGGUGAGGUAAUGGCUCACCAAGGCGACGAUCCCGUAACUGGUCUGAGAGGAUGAUCAGUCACACUGGAACUGAGACACGGUCCAGACUCC
rnacentral:rRNA from 1 species